GAUGAACGCUGGCGGCGUGCCUAAUACAUGCAAGUCGAGCGAACGGACGAGAAGCUCGCUUCUCUGAUGUUAGCGGCGGACGGGUGAGUAACACGUGGAUAACCUACCUAUAAGACUGGGAUAACUUCGGGAAACCGGAUCUCAUACCGGAUAAUAUUUUGAACCGCAUGGUUCAAAAGUGAAAGACGGUCUUGCUGUCACUUAUAGAUGGAUCCGCGCUGCAUUAGCUAGUUGGUAAGGUAACGGCUUACCAAGGCAACGAUGCAUAGCCGACCUGAGAGGGUGAUCGGCCACACUGGAACUGAGACACGGUCCAGACUCCUACGGGAGGCAGCAGUAGGGAAUCUUCCGCAAUGGGCGAAAGCCUGACGGAGCAACGCCGCGUGAGUGAUGAAGGUCUUCGGAUCGUAAAACUCUGUUAGUAGGGAAGAACAUAUGUGUAAGUAACUGUGCACAUCUUGACGGUACCUAAUCAGAAAGCCACGGCUAACUACGUG
rnacentral:rRNA from 1 species